UUACCUGGUUGAUCCUGCCAGUAGUCAUAUGCUUGUUUCAAAGAUURAGCCAUGCAUGUCUAAGUACAGGCCUACCCAAGGCGAAACCGCAAAUGGCUCAAUAAAUCAGUUAUGAUUCAUUGGAUGUCGCUGAAAUCCUUUACUCGGAUAACCGUGGUAAUUCUAGAGCUAAUACGUGCAACCGAGCUCCGACCCCGCCAUACCAGGCGGGGGAAGGGCGCAUUUAUUAGAAUCAUAAACCGGGCGAACUUCGGUUCGUCUCAUACGAGGUUGUGAUGACUCUGAAUAACUAUGCCGAGCGCUGAGGCCUUUGUGCCGGCGCCGUAUCUUUCGAGUGUCUGCCUUAUCAGCUUUCGAUUGUACGUUAUACGCUUACAAUGGCUGUAACGGGUAACGGGGAAUCAGGGUUCGAUUCCGGAGAGGGAGCCUGAGAAACGGCUACCACAUCUAAGGAAGGCAGCAGGCACGCAAAUUACCCACUCCCGGCUCGGGGAGGUAGUGACGAUAAAUAACGAUGCGGGACUCUUCCGAGGCCUCGCAAUCGGAAUGAGUUCACUCUAAAUCCUUGGACGAGGAUCCAUUGGAGGGCAAGUCUGGUGCCAGCAGCCGCGGUAAUUCCAGCUCCAAUAGCGUAUAUUAAAGUUGCUGCGGUUAAAAAGCUCGUAGUUGGACUUUAAGAUACGUGCCGGCGGCCCAUCCAAGGCGCGCCCUGGCCGUCUCGCUCGCGGGGUAUGGGUUCGCGUGGUGGGAGGCGCUUUAGCCGAUCACGGUUUACGCCGUGCCGGCGACUGCGACUUCCCCCCACCUACGCGCUCCCGCCUCCCUUCGUCCGGAGAUUCCCGCUAAAAACCUCCGCACCUCGCCUUCUAUGCGAGAGAAGAGCGCUGAGAUCUCCCCGAACAAAACCUAAUCCUCUCUAUUUACCUUCGUAUCGACCUCUGAAAGGAAAAGAGCGUUCGCGCAGUGUAGCUUUUUCUCCCUUUGAUUACGAAACUUCUUCCGUCCGAUAGCGGGUCACCGGCGGUUAUCUUCCGCCGCCCCCAUUCGGUAACGCGAAAAAAGUCUUCUUCCGUCAUCGGGGUUAAUGAAAUCGCUAAAAAAAAACUGCCGUUCGUUCGUUCACGUCGUACGGGGGGAGGGAGGAGCGGGUCGGGGAUGAGCUCCCUUUUCUCCUCCUUACGUCGGCUUACGGUGUCGGAGGGGGUUUUGACGGCGAACGGGUUUUGGUUUCCCGCCCCCGCUCUCGAAAGAAAGCGGGUGCGAGCGGCUAGUAAGCGCGCCCGGGGGUUCACUGGCCGGUCACGAAAUUUUAAAAGCCGUCGGCUCUCACGGGGGUGCUCUUUACCGAGUGUCCCGCGUGGCCGGCACGUUCACUUUUGAAAAAAUUAGAGUGCUCAAAGCAGGCAAAACUUUAUAGCCUGAAUGUAUAUGCAUGGAAUGAUGGAAUAGGACCUCGGUUCUGCAUUUUUUCUCGGUUUUCCGAACCCGAGGUAAUGAUUAACGGAAACGGACGGGGGCAUUAGUAUUGCGACGCUAGAGGUGAAAUUCUUGGACCGUCGCAAGACUAACUACUGCGAAAGCAUUUGCCAAGAACGCUUUCAUUAAUUAAGAACGAAAGUUAGAGGAUCGAAGGCGAUCAGAUACCGCCCUAGUUCUAACCUUAAACGAUGCCAACUAGCAAUCCGCUUAAGUCAUACCCACGACUGAGCGGGAAGCCCCCGGGAAACCGAAGUCUUUGGGUUCCGGGGGAAGUAUGGUUGCAAAGCUGAAACUUAAAGGAAUUGACGGAAGGGCACCACCAGGAGUGGAGCCUGCGGCUUAAUUUGACUCAACACGGGGAACCUCACCAGGCCCAGACACCGGAAGGAUUGACAGAUUGAGAGCUCUUUCUCGAUUCGGUGGGUGGUGGUGCAUGGCCGUUCUUAGUUGGUGGAGCGAUCUGUCUGGUUGAUUCCGAUAACGAACGAGACUCUACCCUAUUAACUAGUCGGUGGAUCGUAUCCCGAGACGGGUUAACCCCGCCGGGGGGUUUGGCACGGUGCGUCGGGCUCUCCGGCCGCGGCUUCUCCUUCCUCUCGUGCGUAAGCGUUUCGGGGGGGGUCGGCGGGGCGUCGUUAGCGUACCCUCGUACCUUAGUUCCCAUAUUCUCCUCGGAGGAGGGAACGGGCUCGGGGUAGUACGCGCGGCGCUCUCAAAGAUCUUUUUCCGUUCGCCGAGACGAGGGGGUAAACGAGGAGAGUCGCGUGUCGUACGGGAGUUUCGCGUCCGUGCUACGCUACACCCCUCGCGCGGGGCCCAGCGAGGGGCGUCCACCGCAACGUCUUCUUAGAGGGAUCGGCGGCGUCCAGCCGCACGAGAGAGAGCAAUAACAGGUCUGUGAUGCCCUUAGAUGUUCUGGGCCGCACGCGCGCUACAAUGAAGGGAUCAGCGUGCUUUCCCCCUCCGAAAGGAGCGGGUAACCCGGUGAAACCCCUUCCCGAUUGGGAUUGGGGAUUGUGAGUGUUUCCCAUGAACGAGGAAUUCCCCGUAAGCGCGAGUCAUCAGCUCGCGAUGAUUAAGUCCCUGCCCUUUGUACACACCGCCCGUCGCUACUACCGAUUGAAUGAUUCAGUGAGGGCGUCGGACUAGCGCCCUCGGUAGCCCUCGGUUUUUACGCGUUAUUACGCCGUCGCCCCUUAACGGGGGCGUAUGCGGGCGCGGCCGAGUAGGCACCCCGGGGCCGCCGGAAAGACGUCCGAACUUGAUCAUUUNAAAGAAAUUAAAAGUCGUAANAAGGNUUUCCGUAGGUGAACCUGCCCGGAAAAAA
rnacentral:rRNA from 1 species